rnacentral:tRNA from 1 species
GCCUGGCUGGCUCAGUCAGUGGAGCGUGCGACUCUUGAUCCUGGGGUUGUGAGUUUGAGCCCCACGUUGGGCA